GUCCACGCCGUAAACGAUGGGCACUAGGUGUGGGGGGUGUCGACUCCCUCCGUGCCGAAGCUAACGCAUUAAGUGCCCCGCCUGGGGAGUACGGCCGCAAGGCUAAAACUCAAAGGAAUUGACGGGGGCCCGCACAAGCAGCGGAGCAUGUGGUUUAAUUCGACGCAACGCGAAGAACCUUACCUGGGCUUGACAUGUGGCUGACCGGCCUGGAAACAGGUCUUCCCUUCGGGGCAGCUUCACAGGUGGUGCAUGGCUGUCGU
rnacentral:rRNA from 1 species